GUCCAAGCGUCUGGUUUUAUUAGUAUUAGUCAGGACCAAGUCAAUGCGAUGCCGCGGCGGCGCGAUGCAGAAUGGGGGCGGUGGAUGGAGAUUGCAGGGGCCGGAUCCGCGCACGGCAGGGCCUAGGGAGGCGGAUCCGCAGGCGGACGGCGCGGCAGUUAUCGCCGGUGAUGACGAGGAAGGCCGGAGCGUGGUUUUCCGGGCGGAUCCAUGGCGUCGAGGGCUGUUGGGCAGAGAGGAGACAAGGAGGUGAGGGAGAGAAGAAGGGACAAAGGAGGAGCGGUGCCGCGACCUAGGAAGGAGCUUGCCGGAGCUGAGCGAGCGACGACGGACGGGCGCGGGAGACGGAGGGAUCCGGUGCUGCGGCGCGAAUCCUGCCACAGGUGCGAGCCGCUGGUCUUCUAGGACCACCCCUUACGACGACAUUGGCGUCGACGGCUAGGCGCACGACGGCCCAGCGCCCUCCCGUUGCUACAACGUGUGGCGGAGUGCCCUGAGGCCGCGGAUGCUGCUGCUACACCCGCACCACCAGCCCAAGAGUGUGCGCUCUCAGCUCUGCUGGGCCGGCCGUGCUCUCUUGCUGAUUCUUAUCUGCAGCUCCAACAUGAAAGCCUACAAAUCAACUCUUGAGAUUUGUCUUCAAAAUAUGAUUUUUUUACUAUGACAUACUCACCAAAGUUACAUGAUGUGCAGUUUAGAAAGUUGAUUACCGGGGAACUUUUACUACAUGUCCAGUUAUGGUUUCAUGAUAAAAGGAUCGUGCACCAAAUGUUUGUUGAAUUGCUGCUUCAAGAAAAUGUAUGGAGUUUUCAUUGCGUGCUUCAAGUCAUUAACCAGGUAGAAUAAAUCCUAUAAGCUGUUCUUACCAUACAAUCUUUUGAACCAAUUUUUGUAAACUUAGUACAAUAUGAUUAUUGUUUUUGUAGGCUUUUCUAUAGAUAUAUUUGAGCUAUUAAAAAUGUGAUUAUAUCAUUUGUCAUCUGAAAACCAGACUCAUUUAUACAUAAUGGGACAUAAUGUCCAGAAAAUAGUCACCAGGUACAAACAUCACUCUUGACCUACAUUCUACAACAUUGCAUAAUUUUCUGUUUUUCUUGAGGUACCGCUCAGUAAUUUUUUAUCGCAUACAUAGAUAGGACAAAGGUCACAAGAGCUGAUUUUGUGCACCUUGCUGCAUGUGCACUCACUUAUUUAAGAUAUUCAAAGUGUGAGCUUUUGAAAUUUCCAAAAAUAAGUCAGAUUUUCAUUAUUAACCCAUGUGCACAUGCAAUGCUUUCUGACUCUCUGACAAUUGUCUUUCAGAAUAAUUUGAUGAACCACCAUGUCACCCUUCUGCUUGGUUCCAUGGGAAAGCAAUUUACAAAGCUCCAGUUGGUCAAUACAGCCUUGAUUCCAUGUUUUCUACCACUGCUUAACUUUAUUUGAAAAACUAUUGUUGUUAUGUAUGUAGGAUACAGUAUAGAGUUGUAUGCAGGAUAUAGUACUAGCGUUGGAAUUUCAGGGCAUCCAAAAAGAACAUAGUAUGCUUCAACCCAUGUUUUCUACCAUUGCUUACCUUUAUUUGAAAAACUAUUGUUGCUAUGUAUGCAAGAUACAAUACUAGAGUUGGAAUAUCAGGGUAUCCAAAAAGAAUUUACUAUGCUUCAGGUAAGAAAGUUAAUUUGUUUGACUUUUGUAAGGACUAAAUUACUAGCUUAAUGCAUGGAACUUAUUGAGCUGCAGUCAUGGCAUGUGCUUACAUAGAGACCUUCGUUCUGUGGAUACACCUCUUCUUAUAGGACAGGUUGUCUACGAAUUAUCCUGAGGUUCAAUUUCCAUAAUAAAAUGUGUGUUUUUAUUUAUCAUGGUUUCUCUUCCUGCAUGACCAAAAUUUCCAGAUGUUGUUUUAUCAUUUCCUUCCGACGCCAUUAAAUCUCAAUCUUACCUAUGUUGAAAUGGUUCCAGCGUGUGCGUGAUGCAUUGCUCCCCUUAGUUUUCGAAGGAACAUGGUGCUAUUCCUGGUGCUUUUGGUUAUGAAAAAACUGACAUUAGUCAGGAACUUUCUAAGGUGAUCACCUUACUGCUCUGUUGUCAUCGUACCACUUCUACACAGUUUACUGAGUUUAAAAAUCCAUGCAGUACUCUAAUUCUGAAGCUUUGGUUUAUGCGAGAUGUGGCUGAAAGAAGAAAUGAGAUGGUCGAGAUUCUAAUGGAUUUCCCCCAAUUGACAAUGAUAUUUCCUGACAUGAUGUGAAGAGUGGAGCCGCUUAAAGUACAUGGCGAGCUCACCAUGGCCGCCUUUCUUCCUACAGAUUGGGAACCGCCGACCGCGACCCAUGGUGUGUAGAUGAUACACCGGUGAGGUGUUCCAAGGAUGAAGAGGAUCUCACGAUUUUCGGGGAUGAGGAGGAUCUUGCGAUUUCCAGAUUUCAAGUGUCUACACACUAUAUGUAGUAAGUUUUUUAGAGAAGUAGUCAAAUUAAAUCUGGAUACCAAUUUAUUGGAACAUUAUAUUUCUUACAGAAGUAGUCAAACAACGAUAUCAAUUUGUUGGAACCAUCAAGGAGGUGACACUCCUAGAGGGUAUA